GACAGAGGGUGCAAACGUUGUUCGGAAUUACUGGGCGUAAAGCGUGUGUAGGCGGUCUUGUAAGUCGGGUGUGAAAGCCCUGGGCUCAACCCAGGAAGUGCACUCGAUACUGCGAGGCUAGAGUAUCGGAGAGGUUGGUGGAAUUCUCGGUGUAGAGGUGAAAUGCGUAGAGAUCGGGAGGAACAUCUGUGGCGAAGGCGACUGCCUGGACCAGCACUGACACUGAGGCACGAAAGCGUGGGGAGCAAACAGG
rnacentral:rRNA from 1 species